GAGGCUGGGACUCGCGCGGCGAGCGGCAAGCGGCGAGUACCGAGCCUGCCUACUGCCCGCUGCCCGCCGGCGGGCCGCUAGCCGGUUCCGCCACUAGGCGCAGCCCAGCCCAGAGGCCGGUACCCAGGGAGCCUCCUGGCCCUGCGGUUCUGUGCACUCGGAGAGAGGAGGGGUGCCCGGGACAGGAUUGGCAAACUCCGCCCUCCACUUACUAUUUUGCUUAUUUUUCUUUGUGCGCGCCUGUUAGUUUGUUAAACCAGAUCUAGUCCCAGAGUCUUUUCUCCUCCCUCCUCCCCCCCCCAACACCCCCUCCCUGCUCUGUCUUCCCCUCCUCCCUCCUACCCCUCUGCAGGAGACUCUCGCAGUGACGGAAAGUUGCAGCCCCUGGUAGCGCCUUGGGGGUCUCCCGGCAGUGUCCAACCGCCGCCACCCCUUUCCGACUACGGCACUUCGGAGAUCUCCUCCUUCGCCGAUACCCUCUCUCACUUCGGCCGGAUCGCCUGUGCCCAGAACGUCCCACCCAUGACGAUGCUCCUGGACGGAGGCCCGCAGUUCCCUGGGCUGGGAGUGGGCAGCUUCGGCGCGCCGCGCCACCACGAGAUGCCCAACCGUGAGCCGGCAGGCAUGGGGCUGAAUCCCUUCGGGGACACAACCCACGCCGCCGCCGCAGCCGCCGCCGCUGCCUUCAAGCUGAGCCCUGCCGCGGCGCACGAUCUAUCUUCAGGCCAGAGCUCGGCUUUCACGCCGCAGGGUUCGGGCUACGCCAACGCCCUGGGCCACCAUCACCACCACCACCACCAUCAUCACCACGCCAGCCAGGUGCCCAGCUACGGCGGCGCUGCCUCUGCCGCCUUCAACUCAACGCGCGACUUUCUGUUCCGCCAGCGCAGCUCCGGGCUCAGUGAGGCGGCCUCGGGUGGCGGGCAGCACGGGCUCUUCGCCGGCUCGGCGAGUAGCCUGCAUGCUCCACCUGGCAUCCCCGAGCCCCCUGGCUACUUGCUCUUUCCUGGGCUGCAUGAGCAGGGCGCUGGGCACCCGUCGCCCACAGGGCACGUGGACAACAACCAGGUCCACCUGGGGCUGCGUGGGGAGCUGUUCGGCCGUGCUGACCCAUACCGCCCAGUGGCCAGCCCGCGCACGGACCCCUACGCGGCCGGCGCGCAGUUCCCUAACUACAGCCCCAUGAACAUGAACAUGGGCGUGAACGUGGCGGCCCACCACGGGCCCGGCGCCUUCUUCCGUUAUAUGCGGCAGCCCAUCAAGCAGGAGCUGUCGUGCAAGUGGAUCGACGAGGCUCAGCUGAGCCGGCCCAAGAAAAGCUGCGACCGGACCUUCAGCACCAUGCAUGAGCUGGUGACACAUGUCACUAUGGAGCAUGUGGGGGGCCCGGAGCAGAACAACCACGUCUGCUACUGGGAGGAGUGCCCCCGGGAGGGCAAGUCUUUCAAGGCGAAGUACAAACUGGUCAACCACAUCCGAGUGCACACGGGCGAGAAGCCCUUCCCAUGCCCCUUCCCGGGCUGCGGGAAGAUCUUUGCCCGUUCUGAGAACCUCAAGAUCCACAAGAGAACCCACACAGGUGAGAAACCUUUCAAAUGUGAAUUUGAAGGCUGUGACAGACGCUUUGCCAACAGCAGCGACCGUAAGAAGCACAUGCAUGUGCAUACCUCGGACAAGCCCUAUAUCUGCAAAGUGUGCGACAAGUCCUACACGCACCCGAGCUCCCUGCGCAAACACAUGAAGGCCUCAGCAGGUGAUGAGAAAGGCAUGAGAACGAGCUGGAAGGAGAAUGAGGCACCGAGAGGCCCAAGCUGAAAGAAAUAAAGACUUCCAGUACAUCACCCUGACAGUAAAGAGCGAAGGAAAAGUGACGUCUGCUUCAAGACUAGUAAGGAAAUGGAAAUGUCAGAACACAGUAGCUGGGUUGCUAAGGUGUGUGGAACAAAAUAAGACAUCUACGCAUUGAAAGGGAGAUUAUCAUCUAGAAAGACAAUGGAAUUCAUCCCAUUAAUGGAAAUAUGUAAUUAACAAGCUGCUGGUGUCAGUCUGUAGUGAGAACCCUGGCUUGGGCUCUUGCCUCCUAUAGAGUGGCAGUCUUGUCAACGUCUUCUGGCUCCUUGUGGGGGUGGCACAGAUACAAGUGCAAAGAGGAAAUCAGCCUCCCCACUUUCAUGGAAUCUUAGAUGUUUGAGACUACAUUCCAAGGAGAUGGACGAUUGAAUAAAGAGCACCGUAACACAUCCUCGUGAUUAUUCAGAUGUCACUCUAAAAUAUUUAUCAUCUCGAAGGAUCAUUUGUUGAACUCAGUCACUGUGCUGUGAAAAAAGCCAACAUUUCCAAUGAAGAGACCACAUGGAGAAACAUGUAGAGAGGAACCAAGGCCCCUAGCUGAUAGCCAGCAUUAGCCAUCAAGCAUGUGAAUGAAUGAACCUUCAGAUGAUUCCUGCUCUCUGUCAUUGAGUCUUCCAUUUGUGACCCCAGACAUGGUAGAGGAGAUACAAACCAUCUUCACCAUGCCUGUUUGGAUUCCUGAGUCACAGAAGUUGUGAAAGAUAAGUGAUUAUUGUUGCUUUAAGUCACUAUGUUUUGUGGUAAUUUGUUACUCAGUGAUAGAUAAUGAAUACACUUGUACUUGAUAGACUGGAGCAGUGACUUGUAAUGUAUAUAUUUUUAAAUCAUAGAUUCAUUAGAAAAUUUGAUGAAAACUGAAGUGACCUCCAUGACCCCCACAUUCUGGUGUUCAUACCCAUGUAUAAUCUCCUUCUCUUAGGUGUGGGCAGGACAUUUGGCUUGCUUAUAACCAAUAGAAUAUGGCAAAGGCUUUGAGCUGUCACUUCAGUGAUUAUGUUAGCUUAUAUAAGACUUUCUCUUGCUAGCAGACUCACUCUAGGGUCUUGCUUUCCUGGUUUGUUUUGAUGAACCAAGCUGCCAUGAAUCUUACAACCACAAGGAAAUGAAUUCUGCCAACACCCAGAGUAAACUUGUAAGCAGACCCCAGUUGACCCUGAAGAUGAGAACAGAGGCCUAGCUCACACCUUGAUGGCAACGUCACAGAGAACAUUGCUAAGCCAUGCAUAGACUUACUGACCCACAUCAACCAACUGUGAGAUAAUAAAUGUAUGUGUUGUUUUAAGCCAUUACAUUCAUGCUAAUUUGUUAUACAGCAUAGAAAACUAACACAAAAGUGAUGGAUCCUCUCCAAGAAAAAUGUAGAGACUUACAUAUACCUAGAAAUCUUAUGCAAUAUUUUUGGAUGUUGAUGGACCCCUGAUUUCCAUGAAUGGUGCCUAGUUUAAGAACCACUGCUCUAGAAUGUUUGUCCUGCAGUAACAUGCAGAAGAGUGCAAUGCCUAGAAAAUUUCCUUUGUGAUGUUUUGUAUUAAAUAUUUUAUUUACCUGCUUAAUUGUUCAAUAUCUUAUCACUGAAUAUUUUCCACUUGAAAAUUGAAUUUCUCUUCUGCAUCUUUUGAGGUAGAUCAUUGGAAGAGCAUCAUAUUAUUUUUCCAGUCAUAGAAGUAAUCCACUCUCAGUCACUUUCCCCACCUCCCACUCCUCUCUUUCAGGAGAAAAAACUAGGUGGAAGAUCAGCAGACAUCAGUAAACAGUAGACAAACAGGAACAGUAGAUAGAGUGAUGCUAGUGAGUUAAUUAUUGCAUGGAUACUAAUGAAUACAAUUCAGUAAAUGGUUUACAUUUUUUUCUAUUUUUCUUUGGAAAGUUAAACUUAAGAUACAACAGUUAUUUCUUUUGAUCAUAAUUGAAAUGCAAUGCAAAUGAAAAUCUUUCUUCCAACCUCACUGUUAAAGCAAGUGUUUUCUUUACUGUCUUUUUUCAUUAACAAUUGCUGUGCUCUAAUAAAAUUAGAGGAUAUAGAAAAUAGUACUCAUUAUGAAUUCUUUAACACUGGCAUGCAAACAUCCUCAUUAAAGCCAGUGAUCUAUGUUUUGUUGCUUGGAUAAAUGUCUGUAUUCUUGUCUUUUAUUCUUACAAUCCAUUUCUUUGCUGAAGAAGCACAAUAAAGCUCGGACAGCGUCAACUCCCAUUUUUGAUGAGACUUAAAGAAAGGACACAUUUCUCUCUAAGGGCCAAAUGGGAUUGUAAUGGGAGCUCCAAAGUAGAUAGAGGCAUAGUACAUAAUGACUUUCUGCCUUCACAUACCCUUCAUUUAUUUUGUGAACAUUAACUCAGGGAAGGUGACAAGCAAGUAUCUAUAUGGCUCCCUGGA